GACGUAGGGCGCGAGCGUUGUCCGGAUUUAUUGGGCGUAAAGAGCUCGUAGGCGGCUUGUCGCGUCGACUGUGAAAACCCGCAGCUCAACUGUGGGCUUGCAGCCUGAUACGGGCGGGCUGGGAUUCGGUAGGGGGGAGCUGGAAUUCCUGGUGUAGCGGUGAAAUGCGCAGAUAUCAGGAGGAACACCGAUGGCGAAGGCAGGUCUCUGGGCAUUAACUGACGCUGAGGAGCGAAAGCAUGGGGAGCGAACAGG
rnacentral:rRNA from 1 species